UACGAAGGGGGCUAGCGUUGUUCGGAAUGACUGGGCGUAAAGCGCACGCAGGCGGCGCGUCAAGUCAGAGGUGAAAGGCCCGGGCUCAACCUGGGAACUGCCUUUGAGACUGACGUGCUAGAGACCGAGAGAGGGUAGUGGAAUUCCCAGUGUAGAGGUGAAAUUCGUAGAUAUUGGGAAGAACACCGGUGGCGAAGGCGGCUACCUGGCUCGGUUCUGACGCUCAGGUGCGAAAGCGUGGGGAGCAAACAGG
rnacentral:rRNA from 1 species